AUUCGGUUUAACCUAUAAGAUCAGACUGGCUUAAAAAUAGUGUAUGAUGUGUACCUGUUCGAAUCUGUAAAAACCGACCGAAUUUCUUUUUAUUUAUAUUUUUAACAAUUAAUUAAAAAUAUGCAUUAGUUUUUAAUAAUCUAUACUUUUGAAUACUUUUUUAGUUAUAUAAAAUAUAAUAAUAUUUAAAAAUAAUAUAGAAUACUAUACUGAAUUAAUAUAUUUUUUUAAUUAUACAGAAUGAAAAAAUAAUAAUUAAAUAUUUAUGAUGCGAU
rnacentral:lncRNA from 1 species